rnacentral:rRNA from 1 species
AUACGGAGGGUCCGAGCGUUAUCCGGAAUCAUUGGGUUUAAAGGGUCCGUAGGCGGGAAUCUAAGUCAGUGGUGAAAUCUUGCAGCUCAACUGUAAAAUUGCCAUUGAUACUGGAUUUCUUGAAUUAGUGUGAAGUGAUUAGAAUGUGUAGUGUAGCGGUGAAAUGCAUAGAUAUUACACAGAAUACCAAUUGCGAAGGCAGAUCACUAACACUAUAUUGACGCUGAGGGACGAAAGCGUGGGGAGCGAACAGGAUUAGAAACCCGAGUAGUCC